AAAAAAGUAGAGUCAAGGAAAAGCUUCGUUUUAUGGUAGUGCAAUUUGGAUGGCAAAGAAGUAAAUAAUAUUUUAUUGAUUUACUGGGAGUAAAUGGAAUUUCAAGCAUGGACAUCAGAUAAACGUUGUAAAAAGAACAUAGACCUUUUUCUGGUGCCCCCAAAUCUUUUGUGAUUAAAUGGGCUACUGAACCAAAUGGUGAUAGUUACAGACAAAAACCUCAACAGAAUCCAGGCCAUGUUAAUUCUUCAAGUCAAAGAUUUGCAACCUACAUAUGUUUCUGAAACUUACCUGAAAUAAAGAAAGCCAACUGGCACUAUUUGGUAAAGAAGUUAUUAAGAAAAAAUCCUCUCAAAAAUUCUUCCAAUUUAAAGAAACUUGAGUAUCACUGUCUUAGCGUCAUAGUAGCAAGCAACAGCAUGAUGUAUGUAGGUUCACUCAGCAGGAUCAUCCUUUUUUAGGAACUGCUUUUAGCAUCUCAGCUUACAUCACAACUCCUAGAAAAGGUGCACAACAAAAAAUUAGCCAUGUAACUGGAGAAAAAUGAUGAAAUAUGACAUAUGUAUGAAGAUUUUAUUGAAAAAUAAUUAUGUCUAGGAUUUUUUAGUGUGAGAGAAUUUUACCAGCUAUGUUGAUUUUUAUGGUUCCAUGCUGGUAUCUUUUGAAAAGACAAAUUUAUUUACAAGGAGCAACUAGAUUUCAUCUCUUGUUCCAAUCUCCAUUAACCAAUAAUAGCAGUACUGUCUUAAGGAUGACUUUGAGUCUGGAUUCUGCUUAGCAAGAAAGAAGAACAUGAUGAAUUGGUAAGGUCUGCAUCUUUAUGGAUAUGAAAUCAAUGACAACAUUGUACAUAUUCUCAUCUCUAAUAUAUGUUAACUGUUCUUUAUGUUUUUUUUAAAUUCUGUCUAAUCCAGAGACUCAAAUUUUUAUUUAAUAAUUUAUUUUUUGAGUUAAAUGUUUG
rnacentral:lncRNA from 1 species